AUAACCGUGACCAGCUUUGUCAGACGAGUUUGAUUUGGUUAGGAUUUGAGGGUGUGAGAGGUGCUCCACGGUCAAAUAUCUAACGCGUCAACUAAUAUUUUCCAGCGAUCUAGUCGCCGCAAUUAUGUGAAACUACAAGGUGCUUGCGAAUAAAAGCACCAAAGAUCAACAAACGCUUGUUCCACCCUUUGAGGCUCGAUUGGGAUGGCUGAUAACGAAGAGGACAGUCUGCCAGCUGUCGAGGUGCCGGAGAACGAGGAUCAGGCCGGAGACGCGCCAAGCGAAAGCGAUGCUCCGCAAAGUCUGGAGCCGAUUUCUUCGGACACAAAUUUGGGGCCCAGUGAUCAGUCCCAAACAGUGGCAAAUAAGGAUUUGGCUAAAAUUGACGUCUACUUGAAGGCGACAGGCAAUGCGCCGAUCAUGAAGAGAAAGAAAUGGACCGUCAGCCAGGAUCAGCACAUUGGCUGGAUAGCAGAGUUCAUUAAGAAAUAUUUGAAACUUGACCCAAAUGAGAGAUUGUUUCUGUAUAUUAAUCAAACGUUUGCACCAGCACCCGACCAGACUGUUAAAAACCUGUACGAUUGCUACGGUAUCGAUGGAAAGCUAGUAAUUCACUACUGCAAAUCUCACGCCUGGGGAUGAACUUCGUUCUGAGCAUUUAAGAAGGAGCUCACAACGAAAUGAUGGGACUUUUGAGUAGCAGCCAACCAUCACUGGGGUUUUCACUGGCUCCAUGAACUCCAUAUUAUGAUAGAAGUUUAGCCUGAGUGAGAAAGUAAAAAGGAUCGACAACAAUGCAGUUGACGGACCUCCGCAAUUUUCCUACUUUCACGUUAACUCCGUAGACCUUUCGAGACUCUCGGUAUAUUCUCCAGACCUUCAGCGUUCUGUCGCCGCCUGUUAUAAAGCACAAGUCGCGUAGGUUCAUUCUUGUUAUCGUCCAUGCGUCACCAGCAAUUUCGUUGCUCGCGUACGACCCUGAAAUUUGGUGAAUGGUUUAUUCAGUAGCGACAUAUCAACAGGGGUUCAGCAAAGUUAAUUACCGCAAAUCGCGUCGCCCUGGCUUAUGUCCCAGACAACAACGUUACCGUCGUCUCGUCCCCCCAGACUGAUAAGAAAGCCGCUUUCACAGGUGAAGCAGACGUCCUCUACGCGAGCUUUGUGUAUUUCGUGGCUUCCCUUUAUCGAUAAGUCUUUGUAAUUCCAGACGAUCACCAUCGCCUGAAAUAAUUCACAAUUAAUUGCCGAGCGUCUGAUCUAAGGGUUUGAGCCGCUGUAAAUCACACCUUGAAGCCAACGUGAUUUAUCUGUCCAGACCCAACAUAAUUUCCACAAGGUGAGACGCAGACUGCGGAUAUGACGUUUGUGUGACCGGUGAGAAACUUCUGCUUUCCAGAGGCCAUAUUUUUUAUUGUCACCUUGUUGCCCAUUGCGUAGAUCAGGUGCUCAUUGUCAGGGUGAAGCUGAAGGCCCUUUCGGCUCACACCUGUCAUUUAAAAUAUUAAAAAUGAGACUAUGAAGCGGAGAAUUUCUCGGAAGAGGUAUUGAGUAAGCGUGGGAAACUACGAACCAUCGAAAGCUAUUAUUCCUUCCAACUCGAGAUUCUCCACGUCCAUUUUUACCCUUUUAAAAAUUACUCCAAAGGCUAGCUUGUUCAGUUAAAAUUGUUCACCGCUUAGCAUUUGAGCGACAUUAGACACUUCUGUCAAAUUAUUUCUGACUCAGCGUGCAUUGAAUGGUUACGGGGAUUACAAUUCCCCUCCCGUUUCCAUGGAAACGCGGGACGUCAAGUUUAAAUUCAAAGCGAAGCAACCUACCACGUGAACCAAGUGAUGCUUCGAUGAAGCGAAGUCAUGGGAUGAACAACAAAAUUGUGGUAAAGAGAAUGAAUUAGAGGAUACGGUAAAUUAUUAGCUUGGGAAUUGAAAGAAUUCAUAUCCAAGAUUUCGAAUCGUCGCAAUUUCAUCAAAUAGGUAAUGUAUCCGGGACUCAAGUAGUCUGCAUCUGCUUAGGCCGAGCGCUACUAACUUCCGGCCUCCCAAAGGUCCGCCUUUCCUAAGCGCGAUCCCCGCGAGUUCGCAUCGUUUGUGAAUCUGUCAUAAUCGGGAUCGUGUAACGCAAUUUAAUUAACCA